UAUUUGCACGAAACACAUCUUAAAUAAUUUUGGAAAAAAUGUGUUUUUCGUUUUUCAAUAAGAAACGACCACAGCUGUGAUACAAGUUAUGCUUCUUCUUAAACUCUCCGCCGUGGCUAGGUUAGGUCUAGGCUAGGUUAGGUCGCUUGAUAAGGGUCUGCCAAGAGGCAAAAUGUCACAUUAUGGAGAGUGAUUACUGUGUAAUAUGUCGACAGUGUUAAAUAUUGAAAUUUGAUAAAGUGUAUCAAAAUUGUGUUGUAUUGUGUAUGUAAGCAAAAAUAUAUAAAUAUAAUGUGCA
rnacentral:sRNA from 1 species